rnacentral:pre_miRNA from 1 species
AGGAGGAACAACCGCAGUGGCGGGGCCAGCUCUGCAGCCCGGGAGUCAGCUCCCGCAGUAGCUCCGGAGCUCUCCGUCUGCAGGGCCUGGAGGCUCCGGGGCGGG